GACGAACGCUGGCGGCGUGCUUAACACAUGCAAGCCGAACGGAAAGGCUCUGUCUUUGUGGGGAGCUCGAGUGGCGAACGGGUGAGGAACACGUGAGUUACCUGCCCUUGACUUUGAGAUAACUUCAGGAAACUUGGGUUAAUACCAGCAAGGAGCUGCUGCUGCAUGGUGGGGGUUGGAAUGAUUGGGAGGUUGGGGACUGACUAGCGGCUUAUCAGCUUGUUGGUGGAGUAGUGGCUUAGCAAGGGUUUGACGGGGGGCCGGCCUGAGAGGGUGACCGACAACAUUGGGAGUGAGCUACGGCCCGGACUCCUGCGGGAGGCAGCAGUGGGGAAUAGUGCACGAUGGGCGGAAGCCUGAUGCAGCAACGCCGCGCGAGGGGUGGCAGCCUUCGUGUGGUAAGGCACUUUCGCCUGUGACGGAACGUUAGUGACGGUAAUGGAUAAAGAAGCACCGGCUAACUCCGUG
rnacentral:rRNA from 1 species